rnacentral:rRNA from 1 species
UUGCCGUCGAAAGCCUAAGGUUUCCUGAGGAAGGCUCGUCCUCUCAGGGUAAGUCAGGACCUAAGCCGAGGACAAAAGUCGUAGGCGAUGGACAACUGGUUGAUAUUCCAGUACCACCUUUAGCGUUUGACUGAAGCAGUGACACAGAAGGAUAGACAGAGCGCGUGACUGGUAGAGCGCGUCCAAGCGAUGAGGGAGUUAAGUAGUGAAGAACGCUUAACAAUCCUGGGUCGUGAUGGGGACUGAAAAUAAGUAGGGAAGCUGUUGAAUUCACGCUGGCGAGAAAAGCUGCUAAGGAGCGAAAGGGUGCCUGUACCGCAAACCGACACAGGUAGGCGAGGAGAGAAUCCUAAGACGAGCGGGAGAACCCUUGUUAAGGAACUCGGCAAAAUGACUCCGUAACUUAGGGAGAAGGAGUGCCUCGAGAGAGGCCGCAGAGAAUAGGCCCAAGCGACUGUUUACCAAAAACACAGGUCUGUGCGAAGUAGAGAUACGACGUAUACGGGCUGACGCCUGCCCAGUGCCGGAAGGUUAAGGGGAAGUGUUAGGGCAACCGAAGCACGGAACUUAAGCCCCGGUGAACGGCGGCCGUAACUAUAACGGUCCUAAGGUAGCGAAAUUCCUUGUCGGGUAAGUUCCGACCCGCACGAAUGGCGUAACGACUUGGGCACUGUCUCAACAUGGGACCCGGCGAAAUUGUAGUAUGUGUGAAGAUGCACAUUACCCGCGAUAGGACGGAAAGACCCCGUAGAGCUUUACUGUAGUUUAACAUUGGAUUUCGGUAACAUAUGUACAGGAUAGGUGGGAGGCGAAGAACCAGGGACGCCAGUUUCUGGGGAGCCGACCUUGGGAUACCACUCUUGUGUUAUUGGAGUUCUAACGAAUUGCCGUGAACCGGGAUUCGGACAGUGUUAGAUGGGCAGUUUGACUGGGGCGGUCGCCUCCUAAAGAGUAACGGAGGCGUCCAAAGGUUCCCUCAGAAUGGUUGGAAACCAUUCGCAGAGUGUAAAGGCAGAAGGGAGCUUGACUGCGAGACCGACAGGUCGAGCAGGUGCGAAAGCAGGGCUUAGUGAUCCGGCGGUAUGAGAGUGGAAUUGCCGUCGC